AGUGAACGCUGGCGGUAGGCCUAACACAUGCAAGUCGAACGGCAGCACAGUAAGAGCUUGCUCUUACGGGUGGCGAGUGGCGGACGGGUGAGGCAUACAUCGGCAUCUACUUUUUCGUGGGGGAUAACGUAAGGACACUUACGCUAAUACCGCAUACGACCUACGGGUGAAAGCAGGGGAUCUUCGGGCCUUGCGCGAUUGAAUGAGCCGAUGUCGGAUUAGCUAGUUUGCGGGGUAAAGGCCCACCAAGGCGACGAUCCGUAGCUGGACUGAGAGGAUGAUCAGCCACCCCUGAACCGAGACACGGUCCAGACCCCUAAGGGAGGGCGCAGUUGGGAAUAUUGGAGAAAGGGGGGAAGCCUGAUCCAGCCAACGCGGGUUGGUGAAGAAGGCCUUCGGGUUCGAAAGCCCUUGUGUUGGGAAAGAAAAGCAGGAGGAUAAUACCAUGCUGUUCUGACGGUACCCUAAGAAGAAGCACUGGCCAACUUCGUG
rnacentral:rRNA from 1 species